rnacentral:rRNA from 1 species
AACGAACGCUGGCGGCAGGCCUAACACAUGCAAGUCGAGCGAGGACUUCGGUUCUAGCGGCGGACGGGUGAGUAACGCGUGGGAAGGUGCCCUUCUCUACGGAAUAGCCCUGGGAAACUGGGAGUAAUACCGUAUACGCCCUAUUGGGGAAAGAUUUAUCGGAGAAGGAUCAGCCCGCGUUGGAUUAGGUAGUUGGUGGGGUAAUGGCCUACCAAGCCGACGAUCCAUAGCUGGUUUGAGAGGAUGAUCAGCCACACUGGGACUGAGACACGGCCCAGACUCCUACGGGAGGCAGCAGUGGGGAAUCUUAGACAAUGGGGGCAACCCUGAUCUAGCCAUGCCGCGUGAGUGAUGAAGGCCUUAGGGUUGUAAAGCUCUUUCAGCUGGGAAGAUAAUGACGGUACCAGCAGAAGAAGCCCCGGCUAACUCCGUG